rnacentral:rRNA from 1 species
AUACGGAGGGUGCAAGCGUUAAUCGGAAUUACUGGGCGUAAAGCGUGCGCAGGCGGUUUUUUAAGUCAGAGGUGAAAUCCCCUGGCUCAACGGGGGAACGGCCUUUGAUACUGUCAGGCUCGAAUAAUGCAGAAGGAGAUAGAAUUUCGCGGGUAGCAGUGAAAUGCGUAGAUAUUUGGUGGAACACCGAUUGCGAAGGCAAUCCCCUGGGCCUGUACUGACGCUCAUGCACGAAAGCGUGGGGAGCAAACAGGAUUAGAUACCCUGGUAGUCCACGCCCUAAACGAUGUCAACUGGUUGUUGGGUCUUCAUUGACUCAGUAACGAAGCUAACGCGUUAAGUAGACCGCCUGGGGAGUACGGCCGCAAGGUUGAAACUCAAAUGAAUUGGCGGGG